rnacentral:rRNA from 1 species
CUACGGGGUGCACCAGUGAGGAAUAUUGGUCAAUGGGCGCGAGCCUGAACCAGCCAUCCCGCGUGCAGGAUGACGGCCCUAUGGGUUGUAAACUGCUUUUCUAUGCCAAGAAACCUGAUUACGUGUAAUCAGUUGCCGGUAGCAUAGGAAUAAGCAUCGGCUAACUCCGUGCCAGCAGCCGCGGUAAUACGGAGGAUGCAAGCGUUAUCCGGAUUCAUUGGGUUUAAAGGGUGCGCAGGUAGGCUUGUAAGUCAGUGGUGAAAUGCUGCCGCUUAACGGUAGAACUGCCAUUGAUACUGCGAGUCUUGAGUAUGGUUGAGGUAGGCGGAAUGUGUUGUGUAGCGGUGAAAUGCGUAGAUAUGACACAGAACGCCAAUUGCGAAGGCAGCUUACUAAGCCAUUACUGACGCUGAGGCACGAAAGCGUGGGGAGCGAACAGGAUUAGAUACCCGAGUAGUC